GUUAAAACCGCAGAACUUUCAUUCAAGAAAAUAUUUGUACUGGAAGAAUGAAUUCCUUGGUCUUCUUUUUACAUAGAGAAGCAACGUGUACCAUUCAAGGACAGAGGAAGAACACGUGUUUUAAGGCAACUAUCAUUUGAAGAUGCUGAGUGUAACUGUAUGUGUUUAAUAGUGUAUCUGGCAACAAUUGGACCUGGAAUAUGUGAG